GAUGAAGAACGUAGCGAAAUGCGAUAAGUAAUGUGAAUUGCAGAAUUCAGUGAAUCAUCGAAUCUUUGAACGCACAUUGCGCCCGCCAGUAUUCUGGCGGGCAUGCCUGUUCGAGCGUCAUUUCAACCCUCAGGCCCCCAGUGCCUGGUGUUGGGGAUCGGCCCAGCCUUCCUGUAAGGCCGCCGGCCCCGAAAUCUAGUGGCGGUCUCGCUGUAGUCCUCCUCUGCGUAGUAGCACAACCUCGCAGUUGGAACGCGGCGGUGGCCAUGCCGUUGAACACCCCACUUCUGAAAGUUGACCUCGGAUCAGGUAGGAAUACCCGCUGAACUUAAGCAUAUCAAUAAGCGGAGGA
rnacentral:misc_RNA from 1 species